rnacentral:tRNA from 1 species
GCCCGGCUGGCUCAGUUGGUAGAGCAUGUGACUCUUGAUCUUGGGGUGGGAGUUCAGGCCCCAUGUUGGGUA